AUUGAACGCUGGCGGCAUGCCUUACACAUGCAAGUCGAACGGCAGCACGGACUUCGGUCUGGUGGCGAGUGGCGAACGGGUGAGUAAUGUAUCGGAACGUACCUUUCAGUGGGGGAUAACGUAGCGAAAGUUACGCUAAUACCGCAUAAUCUGUGAGCAGGAAAGCAGGGGAUCGAAAGACCUUGCGCUGAUUGAGCGGCCGAUAUCAGAUUAGCUAGUUGGUGGGGUAAAGGCCUACCAAGGCGACGAUCUGUAGCGGGUCUGAGAGGAUGAUCCGCCACACUGGAACUGAGACACGGUCCAGACUCCUACGGGAGGCAGCAGUGGGGAAUUUUGGACAAAGGGGGCAACCCUGAUCCAGCCAUGCCGCGUGAGUGAAGAAGGCCUUCGGGUUGUAAAGCUCUUUCGGCCGGGAAGAAAUCGCAUAGGCUAAUACCCUGUGUGGAUGACGGUACCGGAAUAAGAAGCACCGGCUAACUACGUG
rnacentral:rRNA from 1 species